rnacentral:rRNA from 1 species
GUAGCGGCGAGCGAAACGGGAAAAGCCCAAACCAACAAGCUUGCUUGUUGGGGUUGUAGGACUCCAAUAUGGUAGUCUUUUCAGAUAGUCGAAGGAUUUGGAAAAGUCAGUCAAAGAGGGUAAAAACCCCGUAGACGAAAUUUGGAAGGCACCUAGGAGGAUCCUGAGUACGGCGGAACACGAGGAAUUCCGUCGGAAUCCGGGAGGACCAUCUCCCAAGGCUAAAUACUCUCUAGUGACCGAUAGUGAACCAGUACCGUGAGGGAAAGGUGAAAAGCACCCCGGAAGGGGAGUGAAAUAGAACCUGAAACCGUGUGCCUACAACAAGUUAAAGCCCGUUAAUGGGUGAUAGCGUGCCUUUUGUAGAAUGAACCGGCGAGUUACGAUUAUCUGCGAGGUUAAGUCGAAGAGACGGAGCCGUAGCGAAAGCGAGUCUGAAUAGGGCGAAUGAGUAGGUGGUCGUAGACCCGAAACCAUGUGAUCUACCCAUGUCCAGGUUGAAGGUGCGGUAAAACGCACUGGAGGACCGAACCCACGUACGUUGAAAAGCGCGGGGAUGAGGUGUGGGUAGCGGAGAAAUUCCAAACGAACUUGGAGAUAGC